rnacentral:rRNA from 1 species
GGGUCAGUAGGUUGGUCGUGCCACCGGUACGUACUGGUCUCAUUGAUUCCUCCUUCCUGAAGAACCGUAAUGCCAUUAAUUUGGUGUUGCGGGGAAACAGGACUGUUACUUUGAAAAAAUUAGAGUGUUUAAAGCAAGCUAACGCUUGAAUACAUUAGCAUGGAAUAAUGAAAUAGGACGAUCGAUCCUAUUUUGUUGGUUUCUAGGAUUGACGUA